GGGGUGUGCUCAGAGCAGAAGGCCUGAAGGAUGGCUCCUCUGUUUAUAACACACCCAAUAAGAAUCUGGCCACUUGUGAAGUGGGUUACAAAAUGUGGUAUUCCUCUGAACAAAUGCCAUAUAUUA
rnacentral:snoRNA from 1 species